rnacentral:rRNA from 1 species
GCGAUGAGAUAUUCCUUGUGGGGAGUAAGGAGCUAACGGUGAGAUACCACUCUGGCGAAGCUAGAAUUCUAACUCAUCUCCGUAAGCCGGAGAGAGGAAAGUUUCAGGUGGGCAGUUUGACUGGGGCGGUCGCCUCCUCAAAGGUAACGGAGGCGCGCAAAGGUUCCCUCCGCACGCUUGGA